rnacentral:rRNA from 1 species
GACGAACGCUGGCGGCGUGCCUAAUACAUGCAAGUAGAACGCUGAAGGAGGAGCUUGCUUCUCUGGAUGAGUUGCGAACGGGUGAGUAACGCGUAGGUAACCUGCCUGGUAGCGGGGGAUAACUAUUGGAAACGAUAGCUAAUACCGCAUAAGAGUAGAUGUUGCAUGACAUUUGCUUAAAAGGUGCAAUUGCAUCACUACCAGAUGGACCUGCGUUGUAUUAGCUAGUUGGUGGGGUAACGGCUCGCCAAGGCGACGAUACAUAGCCGACCUGAGAGGGUGAUCGGCCACACUGGGACUGAGACACGGCCCAGACUCCUACGGGAGGCAGCAGUAGGGAAUCUUCGGCAAUGGACGGAAGUCUGACCGAGCAACGCCGCGUGAGUGAAGAAGGUUUUCGGAUCGUAAAGCUCUGUUGUAAGAGAAGAACGAGUGUGAGAGUGGAAAGUUCACACUG